rnacentral:tRNA from 1 species
CAUUAUGAAGCUGAAUUAGCACUAGCCUUUUAAGCUAGAGAGUGAGAGAUAGUACCCUCUCCAUAGUGG